UACAGAGGCCUCGAGCGUUAAUCGGAGUCACUGGGCUUAAAGGGUGCGUAGGCGGCGCUGCAAGUGCCUUGUGAAAUCCCACGGCUCAACCGUGGAAUUGCUCGGCAGACUGCGGUGCUUGAGGUUGGUAGGGGUCGCUGGAACUCUAGGUGGAGCGGUGAAAUGCGUAGAUAUCUAGAGGAACGCCGAAGGUGAAGACAGGCGACUGGGCCAAUUCUGACGCUGAGGCACGAAAGCGUGGGGAGCGAAC
rnacentral:rRNA from 2 species